UGAGGAAUAUUGGUCAAUGGACGGAAGUCUGAACCAGCCAAGUCGCGUGAAGGAUGACUGCCCUAUGGGUUGUAAACUUCUUUUGUAUUGGGAGAAUAAGCCUUACGUGUAAGGUGAUGACUGUACAAUACGAAUAAGCAUCGGCUAACUCCGUGCCAGCAGCCGCGGUAAUACGGAGGAUGCGAGCGUUGUCCGGAAUUACUGGGUGUAAAGGGAGCGUAGGCGGGGUGGCAAGUUGGAUGUGAAAUACCGCAGCUUAACUGCGGGGCUGCGUCCAAAACUGCUGCUCUUGAGUGAAGUAGAGGCAGGCGGAAUUCCUAGUGUAGCGGUGAAAUGCGUAAAUAUUAGGAGGAACACCAGUGGCGAAGGCGGCCUGCUGGGCUUUAACUGACGCUGAGGCUCGAAAGCUAGGGUAGCGAACG
rnacentral:rRNA from 1 species